GUCAGUAUGGUGUAGUGGUUUGAGUGUUGGACUACAAUUCAGGAGGCUAUGGUUCAAUUCCCUACUCAGCUA